rnacentral:tRNA from 1 species
UCUUGGUGGCUCAGAUGGUAAAGAAUCUGCCUGCAAUGUAGAAGACCCAGGUUCAAUCCCUGGGUCAGGAA